rnacentral:rRNA from 1 species
GACGAACGCUGGCGGCGUGCCUAAUACAUGCAAGUCGAACGCAGUGGGGACGGGUGAGUAACACGUGGGUAACCUCCCAUCAGAGGGGAUAACACUUGGAAACAGGUGCUAAACCGAUACUGAUGGAUGGACCCGCGGUGCAGUAGCUAGUUGGUGAGGUAGCGGCUCACCAAGGCAACGAUGCAUAGCCGACCAGCGAGGGUGAUCGGGCACACUGCGACUGAGGCACGGCCCAGACGCCCACGCGAGUCCGCAGUAGGGAAUCUUCGGCAAUGGACGAAAGUCUGACCGAGCAACGCAGCGUGAGUGAAGAAGGUUUUCGGACCGUAAAGUUCUAUUGUUAGAGAAGCGGUAUCUAACCAGAAAGCCACGGCUAACUACGUGCCAGCAGCCGCGGUAAUUC